rnacentral:rRNA from 1 species
AGAUUAAGUUAUUAAGGGCGCACGGUGGAUGCCUUGGCACUAGAAGCCAAUGAAGGACGUUACUAACGACGAUAUGCUUUGGGGAGCUGUAAGUAAGCUUUGAUCCAGAGAUUUCCGAAUGGGGAAACCCAGCAUGAGUUAUGUCAUGUUAUCGAUAUGUGAAUACAUAGCAUAUCAGAAGGCACACCCGGAGAACUGAAACAUCUUAGUACCCGGAGGAAGAGAAAGAAAAUUCGAUUCCCUUAGUAGCGGCGAGCGAAACGGGAAGAGCCCAAACCAACAAGCUUGCUUGUUGGGGUUGUAGGACACUCUAUACGGAGUUACAAAGGACGACAUUAGACGA